rnacentral:rRNA from 1 species
UACGGAGGGGGCUAGCGUUGUUCGGAAUUACUGGGCGUAAAGCGCACGUAGGCGGCUUUGUAAGUUAGAGGUGAAAGCCCGGGGCUCAACCCCGGAAUUGCCUUUAAGACUGCAUCGCUUGAACGUCGGAGAGGUGAGUGGAAUUCCGAGUGUAGAGGUGAAAUUCGUAGAUAUUCGGAAGAACACCAGUGGCGAAGGCGGCUCACUGGACGACUGUUGACGCUGAGGUGCGAAAGCGUGGGGGAGCAAACAGG